rnacentral:rRNA from 1 species
UAGAGUUUGAUCCUGGCUCAGGAUGAACGCUAGCGGCAGGCCUAACACAUGCAAGUCGAACGGUAACAGGAAUUAGCUUGCUAAUUUGCUGACGAGUGGCGCACGGGUGCGUAACGCGUAUACAAUCUACCUUUUGCUAAGGGAUAGCCCAGAGAAAUUUGGAUUAAUACCUUAUAGUAUUAUUUUAUGGCAUCAUUUAAUAAUUAAAGGCUACGGCAAAAGAUGAGUAUGCGUCCCAUUAGCUAGUUGGCGAGGUAACGGCUCACCAAGGCGACGAUGGGUAGGGGUCCUGAGAGGGAGAUCCCCCACACUGGUACUGAGACACGGACCAGACUCCUACGGGAGGCAGCAGUGAGGAAUAUUGGACAAUGGUCGGAAGACUGAUCCAGCCAUGCCGCGUGCAGGAAGACUGCCCUAUGGGUUGUAAACUGCUUUUAUACAGGAAGAAUAAGCCUUACGUGUAAGGUGAUGACGGUACUGUACGAAUAAGGACCGGCUAACUCCGUGCCAGCAGCCGCGGUAAUACGGAGGGUCCAAGCGUUAUCCGGAAUUAUUGGGUUUAAAGGGUCCGUAGGUGGAUAAUUAAGUCAGGGGUGAAAGUUUGCAGCUCAACUGUAAAAUUGCCUUUGAUACUGGUUAUCUUGAAUUGUAUUGAAGUA